AUACGUAGGGGGCGAGCGUUGUCCGGAAUGAUUGGGCGUAAAGGGCGCGUAGGCGGCGCGGUAAGUCUGGAGUGAAAGUCCUGCUUUCAAGGUGGGAAUUGCUUUGGAUACUGCCGCGCUUGAGUGCAGGAGAGGUUAUCGGAAUUCCCGGUGUAGCGGUGAAAUGCGUAGAGAUCGGGAGGAACACCAGUGGCGAAGGCGGGUAACUGGACUGCAACUGACGCUGAGGCGCGAAAGUGUGGGGAGCAAACAGGAUUAGAUACCCUGGUAGUCCACACUGUAAACGAUGAAUGCUAGGUGUAAGAGGUAUCGACCCCUUUUGUGCCGGAGUCAACACAAUAAGCAUUCCGCCUGGGGAGUACGGCCGCAAGGUUGAAACUCAAAGGAAUUGACGG
rnacentral:rRNA from 1 species